rnacentral:misc_RNA from 1 species
GAUGAAGAACGCAGUAAAAUGCGAUACUUGGUGUGAAUUGCAGAAUCCCGUGAACCAUCGAGUCUUUGAACGCAAGUUGCGCCCGAAGCCACUAGGCCGAGGGCACGCCUGCCUGGGCGUCACACGCCGUUGCCCCCCCAUCUACUCCUUCGGGAUUGCGGGGGGGCGGAUGAUGGCCUCCCGUGCGCCUAGCCGCGCGGUUGGCAUAAAUACCAAGUCCUCGGCGACGCACGCCACGACAAUCGGUGGUUGCGAAACCUCGGUUGCCCGUCGUGUGCGUUCGUCGCGCAUCGAGGGCUCGAAAAAAUGCUCGGCUCCGGCUGGGCUUUCAACGCGACCCCAGGUCAGGCGGGGUUACCCGCUGAAUUUAAGCAUAUCAAUAAGCGGAGGA